UGGAGGUUGUUCCCUUGAGGAGUGGCUUCCGGAGCUAACGCGUUAAGUCGACCGCCUGGGGAGUACGGCCGCAAGGUUAAAACUCAAAUGAAUUGACGGGGGCCCGCACAAGCGGUGGAGCAUGUGGUUUAAUUCGAUGCAACGCGAAGAACCUUACCUACUCUUGACAUCCAGCGAACUUUCCAGAGAUGGAUUGGUGCCUUCGGGAACGCUGAGACAGGUGCUGCAUGACUGUCGUCAGCUCGUGUUGUGAAAUGUUGGGUUAAGUCCCGCAACGAGCGCAACCCUUAUCCUUUGUUGCCAGCGAUUCGGUCGGGAACUCAAAGGAGACUGCCGGUGAUAAACCGGAGGAAGGUGGGGAUGACGUCAAGUCAUCAUGGCCCUUACGAGUAGGGCUACACGCGUGCUACAAUGGCGCAUACAAAGAGAAGCGACCUCGCGAGAGCAAGCGGACCUCACAAAGUGCGUCGUAGUCCGGAUCGGAGUCUGCAACUCGACUCCGUGAAGUCGGAAUCGCUAGUAAUCGUGGAUCAGAAUGCCACGGUGAAUACGUUCCCGGGCCUUGUACACACCGCCCGUCACACCAUGGGAGUGGGUUGCA
rnacentral:rRNA from 1 species